CAGCAGCCACGGUAAUACGUAGGUGGCAAGCGUUGUCCGGAAUUAUUGGGCGUAAAGCGCGCGCAGGCGGCCUAUCCAGUCUGUCUUAAAAGUUCGGGGCUCAACCCCGUGAUGGGAUGGAAACUAGUAGGCUAGAGUAUCGGAGAGGAAAGCGGAAUUCCUAGUGUAGCGGUGAAAUGCGUAGAUAUUAGGAAGAACACCAGUGGCGAAGGCGGCUUUCUGGACGAAAACUGACGCUGAGGCGCGAAAGCCAGGGGAGCAAACGGGAUUAGAUACCCCCGUAGUCCCUGUCUCUUAUACA
rnacentral:rRNA from 1 species